rnacentral:misc_RNA from 2 species
UGUGGGAGCGGGCUUGCUCGCGAAAGCGGUGUCAGUCACAUUGUUAUCGACUGACAGAUUGCCUUCGCGAGCAAGCCCGCUCCCACA